UACGGAGGGGGCUAGCGUUGUUCGGAAUUACUGGGCGUAAAGCGCACGUAGGCGGCUUUGUAAGUUAGCGGUGAAAGCCCAGAGCUCAACUCUGGAACUGCCUUUAAGACUGCAUCGCUUGAAUCAUGGAGAGGUCAGUGGAAUUCCGAGUGUAGAGGUGAAAUUCGUAGAUAUUCGGAAGAACACCAGUGGCGAAGGCGACUGACUGGACAUGUAUUGACGCUGAGGUGCGAAAGCGUGGGGAGCAAACAGG
rnacentral:rRNA from 1 species